GAUGCCGAACCGCUAAUAUGAGUGUUUUGUUUAUUGAAAGAACAAGUUUGUGCAAGACUUAACAGUGUGAACUCCGACACUGUGUUGUGGCAAUAUGACGGAAACCCUGACCUAGAGGGACCACCUCUAGGGAUGAGAAAAUCAUUUCAUCUCCAUGUCCUUCAAGUCUUUGGUUUGU
rnacentral:sRNA from 1 species